CAUGUAGGCGGUUUUGUAAGUCUGGUGUGAAAUCCCACAGCUUAACUGUGGAGACGCACUGGAAACUGUGGAACUAGAAUCAGUGAGGGGUAACCGGAAUUCCUAGUGUAGGGGUGAAAUCUGUUGAUAUUAGGAAGAACACCGAUGGCGAAGGCAGGUUACUGGCGCAUGAUUGACGCUGAUGUGCGAAAGCGUAGGGAGCGAACA
rnacentral:rRNA from 1 species